rnacentral:rRNA from 1 species
CGCAUCUGUGCAUGCAGCAUAUCAAUAAGCGGAGGAAAAGAAACUAACGAGGAUUCCCCUAGUAACGGCGAGUGAAGCGGGAAGAGCUCAAAUUUGAAAUCUUAAAGGGUUUCCCUUUACGAAUUGUAGUUUAAAGAAGUGUUUUCUGUUGAGGUUUUGGUAAAAGUUCUUUGGAAUAGGACAUCAUAGAGGGUGAGAAUCCCGUAUUUGACCUUUACUUUCAACUUUGUGAUACACUUUCAAAGAGUCGGAUUGUUUGGGAAUGCAGUCCAAAAUGGGUGGUAAAUUUCAUCUAAAGCUAAAUAUUGGCGAGAGACCGAUAGCGAACAAGUACCGUGAGGGAAAGAUGAAAAGAACUUUGAAAAGAGAGUUAAACAGUACGUGAAAUUGUCAAAAGGGAAGCGUUUGACACCAGUGUUGUUUUUCUGAAAAUCAAUUAAAGAACUGUUUAUGCUAAGUUGUUUAGACUUUAUCAGCUAUCUGUUUAGUUUUGAGCUUUUCUUUAAUGCACUUUUCAGUUAACAAGUCAACAUCAAUUUCUUUUGCUGUAAAAAAGCUUGAGGAAGUGGCUUGAGAUUCGUCUUAAGUGUUUAUAGCCUCUUGCCUAUGCAGUCGGAGAGAUUGAGGUCUGCAGCGUAGAUCCUUCGGGGCUAAAUGCAUUUGUGCUAAGUUAUAGCAUUUUAUAGACAACUUGUUGACUAUGAUUUGUCUUGUAGCUUACUCGCUUAUGUUAUUUUACCUACGCUUAGGAUGUUGAAUCUGUGCGAGACUAC